rnacentral:rRNA from 1 species
GUGUGCGCGCUUCAGGGCCAGUUUCAGCGGAACGCUCUAUUUUCUGCUUACUGCUAAAUCCUCCUUCUAGAUACACGUUUCAGUAAUAUUUUUCGUAAUUCCUUGUAAUUAAGGAAUGUAGCCCAUUUCUUCCCUUUCCAUACGCUACACCUCGACCUGACGUUUUGGGUUGUACCAAUUGUGCUUACUAGGGGGCCUUCAUAGGGUAAGCUGACGACGGCGGUAUAUAGGCGGGGAGAACAAGAAAAGGUGAGGUUGAACGGGGGUUAUCGGUUUCAGAACAGGCUCCUCUAGGUGGGUCUAAAGCACCGCCAAGUCCUUUGGGUUUUAAGCUGUUGCUCGUAGUUCCCAGGCGGAUAGUAGGUGUAAAAAACUAUC